GCAAGUCGAACGGCAGCACGGACUUCGGUCUGGUGGCGAGUGGCGAACGGGUGAGUAAUAUAUCGGAACGUAUCCAAUAAUGGGGGAUAACUAUUCGAAAGGUUGGCUAAUACCGCAUACGUCCUACGGGAAAAGUCUAGGGACCUUCGGGCCUGGCGUUAAUGGAGCGGCCGAUAUCUGAUUAGCUAGUUGGUGAGGUAAGAGCUCACCAAGGCGACGAUCAGUAGCUGGUCUGAGAGGACGACC
rnacentral:rRNA from 1 species